rnacentral:rRNA from 1 species
GUACGCUGGCGGCACGCCUAACACAUGCAAGUCGAACGCAGUAGCAAUACUGAGUGGCAAACGGGUGAGUAUAAUGUGGGAAUCUGCCUUUUGGUUUGGAAUAACACGGGGAAACUUGUGCUAAUACCGGAUAAGCCUUUACAGGGAAAGUUUUAACGCCGAAAGAUGAGCCCGCACUUGAUUAGCUAGUUGGUAAGGUAAAAGCUUACCAAGGCAACGAUCAAUAGCUGUUCUUAGAGGAAGACCAGCCACAUUGGGACUGAGACACGGCCCAGACUCCUACGGGAGGCAGCAGUGGGGAAUCUUGCACAAUGGGGGAAACCCUGAUGCAGCGAUGCCGCGUGAGUGAAGAAGGCCCUUGGGUUGUAAAACUCUUUCGUCGGGGAAGAAAAUGACUGUACCCGAAUAAGAAGGUCCGGCUA